rnacentral:rRNA from 1 species
GACCUCGGAUCAGGUAGGGAUACCCGCUGAACUUAAGCAUAUCAAUAAGCGGAGGAAAAGAAACCAACAGGGAUUGCCCUAGUAACGGCGAGUGAAGCGGCAACAGCUCAAAUUUGAAAUCUGGCUCUCUUUGGGGGUCCGAGUUGUAAUUUGCAGAGGAUGCUUUGGCAUUGGCGGCGGUCUAAGUUCCUUGGAACAGGACAUCGCAGAGGGUGAGAAUCCCGUACGUGGGCGCCUGCCUUUGCCGUGUAAAGCUCCUUCGACGAGUCGAGUUGUUUGGGAAUGCAGCUCUAAAUGGGAGGUAAAUUUCUUCUAAAGCUAAAUACCGGCCAGAGACCGAUAGCGCACAAGUAGAGUGAUCGAAAGAUGAAAAGUACUUUGGAAAGAGAGUCAAAAAGCACGUGAAAUUGUUGAAAGGGAAGCGCUUGCAGCCAGACUUGCCCGCAGUUGCUCACCUAGGCUUUGGCCUGGGGCACUCUUCUGCGGGCAGGCCAGCAUCAGUUUGGGCGGUCGGACAAAGGCCUCUGUCAAGUAUCUCCCUUCGGGGUGACCUUAUAGGGGAGGCGUAAUGCGACCAGCCCGGACUGAGGUCCGCGCAUCUGCUAGGAUGCUGGCGUAAUGGCUGUAAGCGGCCCGUCU